rnacentral:rRNA from 1 species
CAGUCGCCGCGGUAAUACGUAGGUGGCAAGCGUUAAUCGGAAUUACUGGGCGUAAAGCGCACGCAGGCGGUCUGUCAAGUCAGAUGUGAAAUCCCCGGGCUUAACCUGGGAACUGCAUUUGAAACUGGCAGGCUAGAGUGUGUCAGAGGGGGGUAGAAUUCCACGUGUAGCAGUGAAAUGCGUAGAUAUGUGGAGGAAUACCGAUGGCGAAGGCAGCCCCCUGGGAUAACACUGACGCUCAUGCACGAAAGCGUGGGGAGCAAACAGGAUUAGAUACCCCUGUAGUCCCUGUCUCUUAUAC